CAAAGUCCCGUGAAGCAAGUAACCCUGGCCGUCCUUGUGGGAGAAGGAGAACUCGACACCGCAGUAAUCUCUGGCUGACCUUGGCGACGCUCUGCUAAAGGCGAAACAGGCAGCAGGUCUAAACGAGCUUGUGACCACUUUUUCUUACAACAAAGUAACGUGGGUGUCUACUGAUUUCACUUGGCAAACCCCCUAGCAGACAAUAGCAUCAUGGUUUAUUGAGGGCAAGCUGAAGACUCGUGAAACUGGAGGAGGAUCGCAAUCAAGGGAUGCUACGUGGUGUGAGUAACGUAGUUGGGCCUUCAUCUAGCGACUUUAAUCCAAAAACAAUCUUAACUCACCCGGAAAUAAAGAGAACUUAUGAUAGGUUUGUGUCCAUGUUGGGAGAGGAACUGCUUUCCCUUCAGUCUAGGUUGUUGCAUGGGAGUAAGAAUGAAGAAGAGGAAGAAAAUGUUGGAUCAGAAAACUCAGAGAAAGAGGAAGAUCAGGCUGGGUUAAAAAGGUCAGAGGAAGGGG